ACUUUUAGUUAACGAAGUGGUUGAUGCCAUGCUUCCAAGAAAAGCUUCUAAGCUUCAGGUAACCAGGAACCGUACCCCAAACCGACACAGGUGGUUGGGUAGAGAAUACCAAGGCGCUUGAGAGAACUCGGGUGAAGGAACUAGGCAAAAUGGCACCGUAACUUCGGGAGAAGGUGCGCCGGUGAGGGUGAAGGACUUGCUCCGUAAGCCCAUGCCGGUCGAAGAUACCAGGCCGCUGCGACUGUUUAUUAAAAACACAGCACUCUGCAAACACGAAAGUGGACGUAUAGGGUGUGACGCCUGCCCGGUGCCGGAAGGUUAAUUGAUGGGGUUAGCUAACGCGAAGCUCUUGAUCGAAGCCCCGGUAAACGGCGGCCGUAACAAUAACGGUCCUAAGGUAGCGAAAUUCCUUGUCGGGUAAGUUCCGACCUGCACGAAUGGCGUAACGAUGGCGGCGCUGUCUCCACCCGAGACUCAGUGAAAUUGAAAUCGCUGUGAAGAUGCAGUGUAUCCGCGGCUAGACGGAAAGACCCCGUGAACCUUUACUAUAGCUUUGCACUGGACUUUGAAUUUGCUUGUGUAGGAUAGGUGGGAGGCUUUGAAGCGUGGACGCCAGUUCGCGUGGAGCCAACCUUGAAAUACCACCCUGGCAACUUUGAGGUUCUAACUCAGGUCCGUUAUCCGGAUCGAGGACAGUGUAUGGUGGGUAGUUUGACUGGGGCGGUCUCCUCCUAAAGAGUAACGGAGGAGUACGAAGGUGCGCUCAGACCGGUCGGAAAUCGGUCGUAGAGUAUAAAGGCAAAAGCGCGCUUGACUGCGAGACAGACACGUCGAGCAGGUACGAAAGUAGGUCUUAGUGAUCCGGUGGUUCUGUAUGGAAGGGCCAUCGCUCAACGGAUAAAAGGUACUCCGGGGAUAACAGGCUGAUACCGCCCAAGAGUUCAUAUCGACGGCGGUGUUUGGCACCUCGAUGUCGGCUCAUCACAUCCUGGGGCUGAAGCCGGUCCCAAGGGUAUGGCUGUUCGCCAUUUAAAGUGGUACGCGAGCUGGGUUUAGAACGUCGUGAGACAGUUCGGUCCCUAUCUGCCGUGGACGUUUGAGAUUUGAGAGGGGCUGCUCCUAGUACGAGAGGACCGGAGUGGACGAACCUCUGGUGUUCCGGUUGUCACGCCAGUGGCAUUGCCGGGUAGCUAUGUUCGGAAUAGAUAACCGCUGAAAGCAUCUAAGCGGGAAACUAGCCUCAAGAUGAGAUCUCACUGGGACCUUGAGUCCCCUGAAGGGCCGUCGAAGACUACGACGUUGAUAGGUUGGGUGUGUAAGCGCUGUGAGGCGUUGAGCUAACCAAUACUAAUUGCCCGUGAGGCUUGACC
rnacentral:rRNA from 2 species